rnacentral:rRNA from 1 species
CGGCAGCACGGGUGCUUGCACCUGGUGGCGAGUGGCGAACNNNUGAGUAAUACAUCGGAACAUGUCCUGUAGUGGGGGAUAGCCCGGCGAAAGCCGGAUUAAUACCGCAUACGAUCUACGGAUGAAAGCGGGGGACCUUCGGGCCUCGCGCUAUAGGGUUGGCCGAUGGCUGAUUAGCUAGUUGGUGGGGUAAAGGCCUACCAAGGCGACGAUCAGUAGCUGGUCUGAGAGGACGACCAGCCACACUGGGACUGAGACACGGCCCAGACUCCUACGGGAGGCAGCAGUGGGGAAUUUUGGACAAUGGGCGAAAGCCUGAUCCAGCAAUGCCGCGUGUGUGAAGAAGGCCUUCGGGUUGUAAAGCACUUUUGUCCGGAAAGAAAUCCUUGGCUCUAAUACAGUCGGGGGAUGACGGUACCGGAAGAAUAAGCACCGGCUAACUACGUGCCAGCAGCCGCGGUAAUACGUAGGGUGCGAGCGUUAAUCGGAAUUACUGGGCGUAAAGCGUGCGCAGGCGGUUUGCUAAGACCGAUGUGAAAUCCCCGGGCUCAACCUGGGAACUGCAUUGGUGACUGGCAGGCUAGAGUAUGGCAGAGGGGGGUAGAAUUCCACGUGUAG